ACAUUUUUAACACAACAAAACUCAACAUCAAUCACAAUACCUAAUUUCCUAAUUAAAUCAAAGGUAACUAAAAAAAUUGAAAAUUCGAAAUCAUCAAAUACGAAACCCAUAUAUAUAAAAAAUCCAAGCAUAAACCCUAAUUCACAUAGUGAAAACAAUUUCAAGCAUAAACCCUAAUUCACAUAUUGAAAUCAAAUUUAACACCCCUAAUACUUUAUUCGAAAUUUAGACUAACAAAAUUGAAAAUAAAAAAUACGAAACCCAUAUACAGAAAAC
rnacentral:lncRNA from 1 species